GAUGAACGCUGGCGGCGUGCCUAAUACAUGCAAGUCGAGCGAACAGACGAGGAGCUUGCUCCUCUGACGUUAGCAGCGGACGGGUGAGUAACACGUGGAUAACCUACCUAUAAGACUGGGAUAACUUCGGGAAACCGGAGCUAAUACCGGAUAAUAUAUUGAACCGCAUGGUUCAAUAGUGAAAGACGGUUUUGCUGUCACUUAUAGAUGGAUCCGCGCCGCAUUAGCUAGUUGGUAAGGUAACGGCUUACCAAGGCAACGAUGCGUAGCAGACCUGAGAGGGUGAUCGGCCACACUGGAACUGAGACACGGUCCAGACUCCUACGGGAGGCAGCAGUAGGGAAUCUUCCGCAAUGGGCGAAAGCCUGACGGAGCAACGCCGCGUGAGCGAUGAAGGUCUUCGGAUCGUAAAACUCUGUUAUUAGGGAAGAACAAAUGUGUAAGUAACUAUGCACGUCUUGACGGUACCUAAUCAGAAAGCCACGGCUAACUACGUG
rnacentral:rRNA from 1 species